rnacentral:rRNA from 1 species
GUGUGUGAAGAAGGCCUGCGGGUUGUAAAGCACUUDBAGUGGGGAAGAAAAGCCGAGUGCCAAUACCACUCGGUCUUGACGUUACCUAAAGAAGAAGCACCGGCUAACUCCGUGCCAGCAGCCGCGGUAAUACGGAGGGUGCGAGCGUUAAUCGGAAUUACUGGGCGUAAAGGGCGCGUAGGCGGUGAAGUAAGUCGGGU